CACGUAGGGCGCAAGCGUUGUCCGGAAUUAUUGGGCGUAAAGAGCUCGUAGGCGGUCUGUUGCGUCCGCUGUGAAAACUCGGGGCUUAACCCCGAGCCUGCAGUGGAUACGGGCAGACUAGAGGUAGGUAGGGGAGAAUGGAAUUCCCGGUGUAGCGGUGAAAUGCGCAGAUAUCGGGAGGAACAUCAGAGGCUAAGGCGACCACCGGGAUCUACACUGACGCUGAGGUGCGAAAGCGUGGGUAGCAAACAGG
rnacentral:rRNA from 1 species